GCUAGCUGGAGCACCAUAUGUGCACCAUAUUAUCAACACAAGCCAAUCAUUUUCUUACGUCUUCUUACUAACAUACGAAUAUCGUUUAGCAAUUCAAACACUGUUCUCUUAAGCAAAACAUUCAAUAUUACAAUUUAGUUCAUUUCAUUUGGCAAUAUUAACGAGAGCUUGUUUAACCGAUACAGUGAUCGUAUAAACGGUUUCUCAUUGCCACACCAGGAGUUAUACUCAUUUCAAGUGUACAACACAAACGAAUGAGCGCCGCACAUACUAUACCCAGCUCUACUAAUAGAGCAAACCGUAUAGCCCGUGCGAAUAUACUGUAUAGUUCAACGAUUCUCUUUUGUGCUAUAUUCGUUUCACGGACUACACUCCCUUGCUAGUAGCUGGGUAUGUGUAUGUUACUGCUGUAUAAUGUAACUUUUGUGCAUUAUGAUGCUAGAUUAUUGACUUCGAACGAAAAUGUUCAAUGAAAUGUGUCCAAUCAAAUUUCGUUGGUCGCACUUGUCGUUGCUUCGAUUAGUUAAUGUGCUAUGGCUCAGACAUGAGAGCCGUCGAAAAUAAGCCGCCGGUCAAGCCGAAGUCGAGCCUUUUUGGUCGAGUCGAGCCGCCAGUCGACAAGGUGGGAAAAAACCGGCUCAGCCGACUCAAAACGGCUUGAAAAAUUAGAAAAAAAUAAGAACAGAAAAACUUUAAAACAAAAAUAUUAGGCAAUUAAUUUUUUUUUGAUUUCUGUAUUGAAGAAAUAUAACAAACUAAUUUGAACAAUCAUUUGAACUAGCAUUUACCCAACCCUUACACCCAUUCGAUAAAGACAAUAGAUAAUCAUCUAUAGUAUACAUACAAAGCCACAUUCGACAAUCUGUGUGGCUAUAGUCGAUACUCUGUGUAAAAAAUCAUUUGCGUUGAUGCACUCUUUGCAUGCGGUAACAGAUAAAAUUUAAUUUGUAUUAAUUCAAAAGUAAUUAAAUUAAGUCUGUCUUAUUAAGUGAUGUGUAAGAUAGUGCGAUUCUAAACUAUCCACGAGCAGCAGCAAAGGAUAAGACACACAGUUCGUCCGGGAAAAUAUUAUGAGUCGGUAUUGUCUAAAGGGCCGCUGGUAUUCACCAAAACCAAAUUCGAAACUAAAAUACGACUCUGGAUCUGAGAGCGAAGACGAAAAGGAUAUCAAAAAAUCGAUCAAUCGAUUGCAAUUGCUCCAAGUCAAAAACAAUCUACUUCAAUUGAACAGAAAUCAAAUUCAGAAGAAAACAUUUCAUCCAAAGAUUGUUCACCGCGAACAAAAGUCGUAGAACAAAAACCAAAGACUAAACCAAAUUUUAGAAAAAAAUUAAAUUUGUAAUUUGAGACUCGCGUUUUUAUGAUGGGACGACCAAAAAAGGAUCUUGCGGCACCUGCCGAGCCUGAAUAUGAGUACACAGAAAAUUUAAGUGUACAUGUGAAUGAACUGACGGAAAAGGGCAAUCCUAAUCUAAAUUAUUACUUCGGAAAUCUGCUCCGUGACGAUAUUGUCAUUGAUCGAAAACAUAAGUAUUGCUCGGUAUGCAUCAAAGGGCAUAUAAUCAAAAGGUAGGUGUCACUGAUAAAUGCUUUCCAAUUCAAAU